rfam:Roseiflexus sp. RS-1, complete genome.
GGCAAAGCCCGCCUGCGCGGGCUA